GGGGAACUGUAGGGAUACUGCCAGUGACAAAGUGGAGGAAGGCGGGGUGACGUCAAGUCAUCAUGGCCCUUACGACCAGGGCUACACACGUGCUACAAUGGUAGGUACAGAGGGCAGCUACACAGCGAUGUGAUGCGAAUCUCAAAAAGCCUAUCGUAGUCCAGAUUGGAGUCUGCAACUCGACUCCAUGAAGUAGGAAUCGCUAGUAAUCGCGGAUCAGAAUGCCGCGGUGAAUACGUUCCCGGGCCUUGUACACACCGCCCGUCACACCAUGGGAGUGAUUGCACCAGA
rnacentral:rRNA from 1 species